CUCCUGUUAAUUGGGGUACUAAUUCAGGUUAAUUUCAGUUAUUUUCUAUCCUAUGUUUAGAAAUGCAUCAUACUAAUACUAAAACUUCAAUUUUGAUGGUCACCGUAUAAUUGUAUCUAAGAUGUAUGGAUUGAUUUGUAGUUCUUGCUCCUAGGUGUCUCCGGGAAUUCUCCAGAGGUUGCCUUAAAUGCGUCAGGCAUUAGCCCCGGUCCUCACUGGCCUAAGUUAGCCUGCCCAGGCCUCCUGAGCCGUUGGUGAGAGCAUUGCCUUGUGCUGGUCAUCUAUACCAUGACUGCUUCUUCCAGGUCCCUGGGGCCUUCCUGCUGCAGAACUGAUGGCGCUCCAGUCUUGGUCCAUUGCGCUGACACAGAAGUACUCGAGUAUAUUUCAAAACAUAUUUCUCCAUAUAUAAAGAAGAUUUAACUCUCUGAGCAUCCAUUAAACAUGUGAAGUGUGCAUCCACAGUGAACACUGUUUACCUACUCAACAACAUGUACUUGGGAGUGCCGGUAUGCAUCUUAGCACAUGUGGAGAUGUGUUGGUUCUGUGAGCAAGAACCAGUGAGUAGAACUUGGAGCCUUGUCCUACGUGAGUGACUUGGAGACUGGGGUAGUUUCCUCCGAGAUGGCCUUCCUCCCUCUCUGUGUGCACAUCCAGAGGUGCAGUCUAUACCCCUCCUCCCUUGGACCUGGCUGGACUCACUGACUUCCUUGAGCAGUAGAAUGGAACACACAUGAUGUCAGGGGCUUCAGCUGAGUCAGAGUUGCUUUGCAGCUCUCUGCUGUGCCUCUCUGAAUGAUCACUUUUGAACCUCCCCUCAAGAGGACCAGUCUUGAAAGCCAUGCAGUGAAAAGCCAAAGCCAUGUGCAGAGGUCUUGGAGGAUGAAACACGCUAUAUAGAGACAGAGGCCAGGUUGUCAGGAGGCACCAGCCACGGGAGUAAGGAAGCCAUCUUAGACAUGGGUCCUGCCCCACAUGAUACCCACAAGGUGUGGAAUUCCAGAAGUCCCAAGCCAUACAAUUGCCAGGUUAAGUAAAAUGGUUGUUUCAAGUCAGUAUGUUUAGGGCAAUUUGCUGUGUAGCAAUAGAAAACCAGAAAGAGACCCACAAAG
rnacentral:lncRNA from 1 species